ensembl:snoRNA
AGCAGAUGUUGUCUGUUUUCAUGAUGGCCUUCGGACGUCUACCACAGGCAAUGCUGAGACAGCUGAUUGGCAAAGCUGAUGCCAGAAG